ACACGAACAUCGACAUUUCGAACGCACAUUGCGGUCCUCGGAUACUAG
rnacentral:rRNA from 1 species